GCCCCCAUCUUCUUGGUCACACGGGGCGCGCAUUUGACCACUUGACCUUCCCAGCACUCACCGCGUCCCUAAGGCUGCUCUCCGUCCGACCUCUUCCCGCGGCUUCGCGGCGAGUCGUCCAAGGUCCCCCUGCUCGGGAUCCGACGCUGGCGGCGCUCUGGGCUGGGCCCCUUCUGCACGCCCGAGUCAGCUACUUUGCAGCUACUGCUCCCGGAAAAUCGAUGAUCAUUGCUUUUAUUUUAAGCAAAGACUACCUUACGCACUGUUUGCCUUAUCAGGUCAGAAAAACAGCGGCCUUUUCUUUUGCAACUCGCUUUUGGCCUUAUUCUUAAAAGGACCUACUAGGGCCAAUCAAGGGGCCGAGCCCGUCCUCGUGUGCUUUGGCUGCGGUGCCCUCUACUGGACAUGUAACGCAUGCUCGGUUCUCACGGUUGACUAGUUUUCCCAGAAAUGUUACGAAAGCGUUUCAACAAGCUCCUCGGUUUUCUUCAUUGGAUGAUUGGGUUCCUAUUUUAUUUCUUGUUUCUUUUUCAACUAAGGUUCACUUCAAUCCGCUCAUUGUUCCCAGGAAAUUUUCGACUGACAUCGUUUUCCUCGGCGCAGGGGAGGCAGGAGGUACUGUGAAACGGGCGGGCGAGGGAAUCACCGCAAAGGUCUGCGCCGUGCUGCGAACCUGAGAUAACGCAAAUGCCGAAAACACACUCAGGGCGUAGCUUAAAGCCAAGAUUAUUAUGCUGAAGUUUUUUUUAAAAGCAAGAACAGGGAGAUAGACUUUGUGGGGACAGGAGGGGAGGGGCAGAGGAAAGAAAAAGGGUCAAGAUUAGCGUGAUACGAUGUGCGUGCGCAUCACCUUCCCAGGAUGCGCG
rnacentral:lncRNA from 1 species